CGCCUUUUGCCCGAUCUGGCUGUGAUCUGCGCAGGCAGCUUCAGAAUUGGCUGAUGGGAUGGAAAUCCGACCCCUGGUUGCACGAGGGGGAAGCUAAUCUGCAAAGACCAGGAUAUAUGCUACCUAGAAUGUUUAGACUUCAGAUAAAGCACUCAAAAAUCAGGCACUGAAACAGCUAACAGUUGCUUGUGUAACCUGGCUUCACUCUGCUCUGAUAUUUGCAUAUUUUGUAUAUGCAUUAUUGUCCAGGCAGGAGUUACAUGACAACUCACAGUUAUUUCUACAGGUCACUGGUGUUCUUCAGUGGUCAGGUUGGACAGAGGUGAGUGAAUAAGAAGUUACAGCAUUAAUUUUAAAAUGAAUUAUUCAAGCAGGAGUAAAGAAAAAUAAACAUUCAGAAAAUAUCCUUCAUUUUAAAAAGGAGAAAAAAAAUGUUAUUUUAAAAAGGAAAACAGGGAGAGAAGGGGCUGGGGCACAGAGGUGGCAGAUGUUUGCAGCUGGCCCAGGUUCUGGGUAGCUGCCAAUAGCCACGGAGCCUGAGCUACUUGUAGCAGGGUUUUCAUGGGAGCAACCCGGGCUCCAUGGCUAUCAGCCGCUACCCAGAGCUGGGGCCGGCUGCAGCCAGGAGGCUAGAAACAGCUGCUGCCCUCCCACCCCAGAUCCAGCCACGGCCCCGGCCCUGGCUGUCUCCUGGCCCCGAGAAGGCAGCAGGUGCUGGCACUGCACCCGUUGGGGCUGGGGGCAGGGAGUCAGCAGCUGUUUGUAGCCUCCUGGCUACAGCCAACCCCUGCUCUGGGUAGCUGCUGAUAGCCACAGAGCCCAGGCUGCUCCCAGCAAGGCUUGCAGCAUCCCAGCUGCCUGCUGGGAGCAGCCUGGGCUCCCGGCUGGCAGCAGCUACCCGGAGCUGGGGCUGGUUGCAGCUGGGAGACUACAAACAGCUGGUGCCUGCCGGGCCCCAACAUGUGCUGAGGAAAAUGGCCUCACGUGCCAUGCUCGGCACGCGUGCCAGGGGUUGCUGACCCCUGGUAUAGGUUCACACCUGCACAUGUUUGGCAGUAUAUGACAAAUCUGUGGCUAUAAAUAGAUUUCCUAGAUUGUUAAUCCAGAAGAGACAAUUAAAUCACCUAGUCUGACUUUUAAUUCCAAAGCUCUUUGCUAUAAAUCAGUGAUUCAUAACAGGACUGAAAUGGACCUUCUGAGUCCGGCUGUCACACUCAGUCCUUUUAUAAACUUGUUGAUAGCUCCAUCUUGAAACCAAUACAGACAGCUGUUUUUUGCUCAGAAGGUUAGGAACUUUCUAAUCUACAAUCUAAAUUGAUUUAUGGCUAGUUAAUACCUCUUUGUUCUUGUGUCAGCAUUGUUCUUUAGCUUAAGUAGCUCUUCUCUGCCCAUACUUAGCAUUUAUCCCCCUGAUGAUUUUGUAGAGCAUUCCUUGGUUUUAAACCAUUCUGUACAUAAGUUCCAGUUUAAUUCUUUAGUAAAUAUGUGACCAGGGUCAUAUACGGUAUUCUAGUUGAGGUCUCACUACAGCCGUUUAGAAUUGGAUAAUUACUUUCUUAUCAUUAUUAGAAAUGCUUCACCUUAUGCAGCCUGUAAUUGUACUUGGCAUUUUCAUGUCCACAUCAUCUUGGUGCCUCAUCGUUGUCCAGUGAUCAAAUAAUACAUACAUCCAGGUGAUUGUCCUUUGCCACAUCUGAUUAGCUCCCAAUUAAUAGAAUAAAUUCUCAAUCCAUUUAUGCAUAA